CACGGUCCAUACACCUACGGGUGGCAGCAGUAGGGAAUAUUAGAAAUGGGCGAAAGCCUGAUCUAGCAACACCGCGUGUGCGAUGAAGGCCUUCGGGUUGUAAAGCACUUUUUGGAGGGAAUAGGAAGGAAGGUACCUCCAGAAUAAGUCUCGGCUAACUACGUGCCAGCAGCCGCGGUAACACGUAGGAGGCAAACGUUAUCCGGAUUCACUGGGCGUAAAGCGCGUGUAGGUGGUUCUGUAAGUAGGGCGUGAAAGCUCCCGGCUCAACUGGGAGAGGCCGUACUAAACUGCAGAGCUAGAGGAUGGUAGAGGGAGGUGGAAUUCCAGGUGUAGUGGUGAAAUGCGCAGAUAUCUGGAGGAACACCAGUGGCGAAGGCGGCCUCCUGGACCAUUCCUGACACUCAGACGCGAAAGCUAGGGUAGCAACCAGAAGUAGCGACUCCGGUAGUCCUAGCCCUAAACGAUGCAGAAUAGGCGUCGGCGGUUUAAUCACCGUCGGUGUCCAAGCUAACGCGAUAAGUCUGCCGCCUGAGGACUACGGCCGCAAGGCUAAAGCUCAAAGGAAUUGACGGGUCCCCGCACAAGCAGCGGAGCGUGUGGUUUAAUUCGAUGCUCCGCGAAGAACCUUACCUGGGUUUGACAUAACAGUGGUAGAGAAGUGAAAACGGAUCGACCCUUCGGGGAGCUGUUACAGGUGUUGCAUGCCUGUCGUCAGCUCGUGUCGUGAGAUGUUCGGUUAAGUCCGCUAACGAGCGCAACCCGCGCUGUGUGUUACAAGUGUCACACAGUACCGCCGGUAUUAAGUCGGAGGAAGGUGCGGAUGACGUCAAGUCAGCAUGACCUUUAUAUCCAGGGCUACACACACGCUACAAUGGUCAGAACAAUAGGUUGCCAAGCCGUAAGGCGGAGCCAAUCCUCCAAAUCUGGCCUCAGUUCAGAUUGCAGGCUGCAACUCGCCUGCAUGAAGUCGGAGUUGCUAGUAACCGCAGGUCAGCAUACUGCGGUGAAUACGUUCCCGGGGAUUGUACUCACCGCCCGUCAAG
rnacentral:rRNA from 1 species